rnacentral:rRNA from 1 species
GAUGAACGCUGGCGGCGUGCCUAAUACAUGCAAGUCGAACGCAGUGGGGAUGGGUGAGUAACACGUGGGUAACCUCCCAUCAGAGGGGAUAACACUUGGAAACAGGUGCUAAACCGAUACAGAUGGAUGGACCCGCGGUGCAUUAGCUAGUUGGUGAGGUAACGGCUCACCUAGUUCACGAUGCAUUGCGGACCUGAGAGGGUGAUCGGCCAGACUGGGACGAAGACACGGCCCAGACUGCUACGGGAGGCAGCAGUAGGGAAUCUUCGGCAAUGGACGAAAGUCUGACCGAGCAACGCCGCGUGAGUGAAGAAGGGUUUCGGAUCGUAAAACUCUGUUGUUAGAGAAGCGGUAUCUAACCAGAAAGCCACGGCUAACUACGUGCCAGCAGCCGCGGUAAUAC